CGAGUUCACGUACGAUAACCGAUGUUAAGCAACGUCGAGCCUGGUCAGUACCUAGAUGGGUAACCGCUUGAGAAUACCUGGUGCUGUAAG